rnacentral:tmRNA from 1 species
GUGUUGCUUGAAAGGUAUUUUGCUGUACUAACCCAACACCACCUAUUUAUCAUGUUUGGAAGCCUAUUAAAAACUGUGCUAUUGACUCUGGCGUUUGUGUCUUUGUCUACUUGUGACUCAAAAAUUUUACCCAAGCAUUGUUGCCAUAUUUCUGCAACCCCUACUGAGAAAAAAUCCUGGAACUUCCUGUCCUCCAUAACUGAGAUAUAUCUUAGUAGUCCAUCUUCGUGUGGGAAUAUCAAUGUGGCCCAGGUGAAAGUGAAAACCAAGACAGGAUACCACUUAGAAUGUGCAAAUGGUUUUGGACUCAUGGGCUUUCUUGAAGCCGUGGUCAGCAGGUUUAGAGACCCCACCCCCGAUGACGUUGAGUUCCUUAAACAACUUAAAUUGUUGCACGAUCAGUUUGAUGAGGUAUUUUCAGCAAGCACUGCCAACAGCUCCUCCUUUAAGGUCGCCGCCUGGUAACCAUGGACACUUGGCUAAAAACGCAUGUGUGGUCCCUGAAUGUUAUGCAGAGAGACUCAGUAAUGGAUUUUCUACCUCAAUCCUGGAUAGACUACUUACAACUCUCCGCGUUUUCAUCCAAGAAGCUUGAGCAGAUUAUGGCUGCAGUAGAAAACAGAAGAAAACAAAAUAUUGUCUAUCCUGAUAGUGAGGAUGUGAUGCGCUGGGCAUUUUCCUGCCCUCCUGAAAAUGUUAGGGUUGUUAUUCUGGGACAGGAUCCCUAUCAUGGGGGCCAGGCCAAUGGUUUGGCCUUUAGUGUUCAUGAAAACUUUCCAGUCCCACCGAGCUUACACAACAUUUUCCAAGAACUUAAAAGGUCAGUGCCUGAUUUUCAAAUUCCCCCUUCUGGCUGUCUUGAUAAGUGGGCAGAACAGGGAGUUCUUCUGCUUAACUGCAUCCUGACUGUAGAUAAGGGACGGCCUGGUUCUCACCACAAACUUGGAUGGGGAUGGUUCACAGACUAUGUCAUUUCUACAAUCUCUGAAAAGAAUGAUAAGUGUGUUUUUAUGCUGUGGGGAAACAAGGCAAUAGAAAAGGAAGUUCUGAUCAAUGGCAGUAAGCAUCUUGUAUUAAAGGCGCAACAUCCUUCCCCCCUGGCAUCUCUUGGUGGCUACUCAUCAAAACAGGCCCCGUUUUUGGGCUGUAACCACUUUUCAAUUGCCAACACAUAUUUAACGCAGCACAACAAACCCUCAAUUUCUUGGAACUUAUAAUGGACCCCUUUAAGAAACCAGUGAGAAUGUUGCCCAUAAAGGGGGCCCCGAUCUCUCGACCAAUAAGUGUUUUUACAUUUGACGUGUUUAACCCCCCGGACGAUUCCGAUGGGUCAUCAACUCCAGACUCAGUGUUUGAGGCGGAGACCAGCCCAGCAAGAACUCCUCCAACUCCCGCCUUGAUUCUACCCUAUGAUUAUGUGAGCAGUGAAGACUCUGAUGAUGAAGCACAAGAACAUGCGGAUAACCGGGACACUAAUGACCAGGUCAGCGAGUCAAGUACAAGUGAGGACUCUGAUUCAGAGUCUGAAAGUUCAUGUGACGAUACCCAGCAGACUUUCGUGGACGAUGAGUCCACCAGCUCUUCUGGCGAGGAAGACAGAGAUGAUCCUUUUGAGUCAAAUGACCAGGGCGCGCAGGGCGGGUCGACCUCUGAGUCUGAGGAUGACCUCCCUGCAAUACUGAGGGCUGCACGCGAGACACAAAGUGACAGCUCUAGUGACAGUUCCGGCAACUCCCAUAAAAAAAGGCGAGUGCAGGAAGAAGAAAGUAGUCGCAUCUUGAAAACCCCAGCCCCCAUUUCUGGUAAUGGAAAAUAUAACUGGCCAUGGUUGGAUUGAAACUUUAUUCAAUAAAAAUUAAUAUACAAGUA